CUCCAUGUUUGAGGUCUUUACUAGCAUGAAGGGAAGGAAGCCUAGAGAUAUACCAACAAGAGCCAUCGUUCAUGACCCAGAUCUACAUUCCCUUCACAACAAAGAUUAGAAGUAGCAAAGGAUUGAUUCUGCACUUAUUAAGAAUAAGAAAAAGGAUAUGCGGUGAGCUAUAACUUCCUAGUUCCACUUCAACCACAUCCCUCCAA
rnacentral:lncRNA from 1 species